rnacentral:rRNA from 1 species
CUACGGGUGGUAGCAGUGGGGAAUAUUGGACAAUGGGCGAAAGCCUGAUCCAGCCAUGCCGCGUGUGUGAAGAAGGCCUUCGGGUUGUAAAGCACUUUCAGUGGGGAAGAAAGCCUUGGGGCUAAUACCCUCGAGGAAGGACAUCACCCACAGAAGAAGCACCGGCUAACUCCGUGCCAGCAGCCGCGGUAAUACGGAGGGUGCGAGCGUUAAUCGGAAUUACUGGGCGUAAAGCGCGCGUAGGCGGUCUGAUAAGCCGGUUGUGAAAGCCCCGGGCUCAACCUGGGAACGGCAUCCGGAACUGUCAGGCUAGAGUGCAGGAGAGGAAGGUAGAAUUCCCGGUGUAGCGGUGAAAUGCGUAGAGAUCGGGAGGAAUACCAGUGGCGAAGGCGGCCUUCUGGACUGACACUGACGCUGAGGUGCGAAAGCGUGGGUAGCAAACAGGAUUAGAUACCCGGGUAGUC